UACAGAGGUCCCAAGCGUUGUUCGGAUUCAUUGGGCGUAAAGGGUGCGUAGGUGGCGGGGUAAGUUGGAUGUGAAAUCCUGGGGCUCAACCCUAGAACUGCAUUCAAUACUGCCUUGCUGGAGUACUGGAGAGGAGAUUGGAAUUUACGGUGUAGCAGUGAAAUGCGUAGAUAUCGUAAGGAAGACCAGUGGCGAAGGCGAAUCUCUGGACAGUUACUGACACUGAGGCACGAAGGCCAGGGGAGCAAACGGG
rnacentral:rRNA from 1 species